rnacentral:rRNA from 1 species
UACGUAGGAGACGAGCGUUGUCCGGAAUUACUGGGCGUAAAGCGCGUGUAGGCGGAUGGGCAAGUCUGCUGUGAAAGCUCCUGGCUUAACCGGGAGUGGUCGGUGGAAACUGCCAAUCUGGAGGACGGUAGAGGUAGGUAGAAUUCCCGGUGUAGUGGUGAAAUGCGUAGAGAUCGGGAGGAAUACCUGUGGCGAAGGCGGCCUACUGGGCCGGACCUGACGCUGAGACGCGGAAGGCGUGGGGAGCGAACGGG